rnacentral:tRNA from 1 species
ACAUAUGUAGUAUAGAGUUUUAUAUUCAAUUUAGGUUUGAAAGAAGUAGAUAUGUU